ensembl:snRNA
UUGUCGCAUGAAAGGAAAGAAGGUUAGCAUUCCCCUUGACAAACCUAGAAGAGGCUCUUGGGCUUAUCUUGGGUCUUAAAUAUUGUGUAGCUUAAGAAAAACCACUUAACCUCUCUGAGCCUCAUUUUUUU